rnacentral:lncRNA from 10 species
CCCUCAUCCUCAUUCCACCAUGUAAAUACAGAGCAAGAAUAUACUGGUCUAUGAACCAAGAAGUGGCACCUUGAUCUUGGACUUCCCAGCCUUCAGAACUAAUGCUCUUUUCAUGUUUUGUGUUCCUCCACUGGACUUAAUCUAAUGCAUCCAAAGCAUGAGAAGAAAGAGUCCUGUUCCCAAGUACCAGGGAAAUUGGGCAUUGCUUCCAGAAGACAUGAAGAAACCUGCAGCAGAUUCUACUCUGGAUUUUGCACAAGAUCGUGUUUCAAGUCAAGGUGAACCCCAGAAACUGAGAAAGUCAAUCCACUCAAGAGAAAAUGCUCAACUAAGGAGGAGAUAAAGUUCAUUUCUUCUGUGAUUUGAUUUUUUUUCCCUUGCAAAUAGAAAUCACAUUCAUUCAAAAUCAAAGACAUUGAAUUAGCUGCAUAAGAAGUCAUGGAUAAUUCUUUAAAGAUAUAGAAUCACACAGAUAAUGGCAAGUGUUGGUGAGGCUUUAGAAUAACUGGAAUUCUCAUACUUUGCAGGUGGGAGUGAAAUAUGGUUCAGCCUCUUGGGAAAACAGUUGGGCCUUUUUUUAUGAACUUAUUCGUACACUUUUAGUGCAUGACCCAGCAGCCCUACUUCUAAGUACUUACCUCAGAGAAAUCAAAACAUAUUCACACAAUAACUUGUAUGUGAAUUUUUUAAAGGCUUUAUUUGUAAUCACCCAAAACUGGAAACAAAUAUCCCUCAGUUGAGGAAAAGAUCCCUCAGUUAAGGAAAAGAUAAACAAAUUGUACAUUUGUACCAUGUGAUACUAUUCACCAGUAAAAAACAAUGAACUGAUUCCUGCAACAAGGUGGAUGAAUCUUAAAUCCAUUUUUCUAAGCGAAAGAAGCCAGGCUCAAAGGGUUACAUACUUAUAUAAGAUACCACUCGUAUAAGAUUCUUUUAAACACAAAACUACAGGGACAGAAAAC